UACGAGGGGGGCAAAUGUUGUUCGGAAUCACUGGGCGUAAAGGGAGCGUAGGCGGGCUUUUAAGUUAGGUGUUUAAUCCCGGGGCCCAACCCCGGUCGUGCACUUAAAACUGGAAGUCUUGAAUAGUGGAGAGGUCAGUGGAAUUGGGGGUGUAGCGGUGGAAUGCGUAGAGAUCCCCAAGAACACCAGUGGCGAAGGCGGCAUCCUGGUCUGCGACUGACGCUGUGGCGCGAAAGCUAGGGGAGCGAACGGG
rnacentral:rRNA from 1 species